CGUAUAAGAAAAAAAGCACUCCUCUCAUCUCAGUCGAUCCCCACCACUGCCAGGAUCCUUAUCCAUCCGCAUGCGCCACAUCUUUCGAUUAGCGGCCAGCGGAUGAAGAUGUCGCCGCUUGCCAUCAUCAGACUAAUUCCCAAGCUAUCCCGGUCGUACUCGUAGAUUCAUUUCUUCUGAUUUCACUUCGUCGAUCUAUUGGCUCAGUUGGCCGUGCGCAUGGAGUGCGUAGACACGCUCGUCGCGUCCUCUGUGGUGUGAAUCCUCGACCACCCCAUGGAGGAGGCUGUGAGUGAACUGAUGGAGUCACGGGCUGAUGGUGGACUGUUGGAUGUGAGGUGCGGGACAGAGUUUGGGCUUGUUGCUGUUCGUAUGGGGGCACUGAAGGCAGAUGAGUGUAAGUAGAUCGUGGGAUUGAUAAAUAGCAGCAAGGUGUGAGCGGCUUCUGCGGACGACCAUGAGAUCGUGGCCUCUUAUUGUUGGUGCUGUCAGAUUUCUACCAAAUAAUGGGGCACUACCAAAGCUAGUGGUAUGUGUGGAACACCAGAGAGGCCGUUGAUUUGCUUAUAUAUGGUUCUGCUAUUCAGCAAGGUCAGAAGUGCUUACGCGUGAUUUCAUCGGAUGUCGAACGAAGCAAUUGGGCAUCGCUUCAUGAUUCGUGAAGCGUCGAGCGUGCUUGGGCAUGACUUCGCCAUACGUUGAGUGAAGCAAUCAACUUUAAUCUCCAUGGCACGUCCUGAGUCAUGCAUUAGGUCAUGGGACUUCGAUUUUCUUGUGGAGUCUUCAAGUCAUGGUUUGGCUGACUUCUAUUUCUUUUCUGUGUGCUUAUGCGGCAGGUUGGACCUCUUUAUAUAGGUUGCGCUGGCUGUUUGGACGUGGCCGAAACCAUGUGGAAGUCUGAUCAUAUGCUUCUCUUAUUUGCACGUAUCCCGUCCUUGUUUGGAAUUGUCAGCCCAGUUCUUUUAGGGGAUGGAUACUGUAAGUUUAAUCGUAGCAUGUUGGGCUCGUAUAUGUGGUUGUCCCUGGCCGAUUGAUGAAAAGAUAGCUACUCCACCUCGUGCCCGUUUCUGUUUUUGAUGGAUUCCAGUUGGAACCUCUAUGUACACUGCUUCUCUAUUAUUUUUCCCCAGAUGAAAGAGAAAAACGUGAAGGAUCUUUUUCAGA